UGGGUCUAAUGAAGGUGACACUGACUUGGAUAAGUACAUGGCAGAAGUUACAGUAAGGCUUUCAAAGGUUGCUUUUGAGAACUUUGAUAUCUUAUCAUGGUGGAAAACACAUCAAGAUGUAUAUCCUGUGUUAUCAAUGCUUGCUCGUGAUGUUUUGGCCAUACAAGUGUCCACUAUUGCCUCGGAAGCAGCUUUCAGUGCCGGUGGUCGUGUUAUUGAUCCAUUCCGUAGUCGUCUUGGCCCCUAUGUGGUAGAAGCAUUAAUAUGUACAAAAGACUGGGUUGUUGCAUCUAGGAAAAAUAACAAUAAAAAAGGGGAUAGACUUGGUUCUAUUGUGAACGAUCUGGAGGUUGUGGAAACACUUGUUGCUAAUAUGAGUCUUGAGGAAUAGCUUGACGAAAAGCAACAAGCAGAAGCUGACAGUGAUGAUGACAAUUUCGAUUAUACCAUGAGUACUUCAACUUUAGGGGAGAGGCUAGCCAUGCAAGAUAAUCAAGGAACGGAUAUUGAAUAAGAGGCUGAUCAACUGCAUCAGGAGCAAGAAGUUUAGGGUGAUACCAGUGGAUUGGAAGAACACCAUGUUGAAGAGAAAUCAAGGAUGAUUACCGGCUUCUACGUACUUGAUCGGAUACUUGCCUUUCAUAAUAAAUAAAAACUUCGAUUGAAUUAAAUAUUUCUUAAGUACGACCUUCGUCUUGGACACUAUGUGUAAUGCUAUCAGCAUAUUAUCGGUACUACAUAUUGUUGCUAUACUCGUGAUUUAUAACUUUAAAACGCCACUCUCUAGUGUUAUG